AGGUCCCGCCGAGAAUAGAACUCGUUUGCUGGUUUCGAAGUCCAUAGUGAUAACCGCUACACCAUGGAAAC
rnacentral:tRNA from 1 species